rnacentral:lncRNA from 10 species
CAAACCACCUUCUCGGGCUGUGGCUGGGAAUCGCGCUACACUUGACAGCCCUUUCCAUGGGCCUCCCCGGCCCGCCUGCCCUCGGCCCCGAAGUCAGGGGAGACAGGGGCCAUUUCAGCUGCUCGCGCUCGCUUGCCUUCCCGUCCCUGCCGGAGUCAGCAGACCCUGACUUCUGGAGAAGCGUUGCUGCGAUGUGUCAGCUGCUCGGGGAGAGGCUGGAGUGAUGGAUUCCAAGAGCUGUCAGGAGAAAGGGUUUACGACUAUGAGCAAUCUGAUGCUAGUCCCGAUGUCUUGGUUAUCUCUUGUGUAUCCAGCACCCAAGGGAAGGAGCAUCCCAUGGCUACAACUCUCAAGCAUCGAAAUGGAACCUGUGAGAGUUCUUCACCCCACAGGGAACUCCUUCCACCAAACUUAGGGGAGCGAGAAAGGGGUUGUAAGGACUUGCCUUUGUAUCUCCCCAGCCCCUGCACAGGGCUGGAUUUGCAUAUGUUAAUAUGGAGAACUGCAACUAUUUAAUGAGAAGCAGUGGGCCACGUGGGUGAGCAGAAUUCCUUAGAGUAUUUUUUUCAGAUGUCUUA